UUGUUGCAUUGGACCAAGCUGGGCUCAAACUUUCCAUUAUCCUGCCUCAGCCUCCAAGACAGGUAUGCACCACCAAGACCAAUUUCUGGCAGAUAUUUUCAUUAGCUAACUGGUGACAUUUUUAGCAAAUGCCAAAAGUAAUAUGGAAUAUAUAAAACAUCAGUGAGAAAAUAUAGUCUCUUGAGCUAAUUUUUAAUUCUUUCCUAUCUUACAUUGUGUCUAAAAAUAUGUUUAAAAAAUCAAUGUGUACCUUGCAUUCAUUUUGUUUGAGUUUCCCCUCACCCGUUAUUAUCUAGUUCGCUUACAUUUUUGCAUUAUUUUAAAAUCACUUUCUCCAGCCUCUGGGUAUGUUAUGGGGAAAAAUCAGGCCAAGAUCCAUUUUGGAGGGUUGAUGUUAGUUUUAAAGCACAGUUUUGUUCUAUCUGUUCUCCUUCCAUUGCUACAGAACCGACCAAAAGACUGUCAACCAGAUAAAAGCAUUUGAAGCAAAGAAUUUGACAACCAUUAGCUAGAAAACUAUUCCUUGAAUAACUCAAAAUCGAUUGAAGCUUUCCUUAUAUAUAAAAUUGUUCUGUCAUUCCAUUCAUUUUUUGCAUUCUUCCUUUGUAUACAAACAUAGGAAAAUGUAGACCAGUGACAUAGAAACAAAAGGCAUAAUGAUGCCAAAUAGGAAAGAAGGACUUGGAGGAUGCUUUGGACCUCUUAAUUUCAGGCCACUUGAUAGCAGAUACAGUUCAUUACACAAGAAAAUUGCUUGAUCUUGGGGAAAGAGGGUGCUGGAGGUGAGGGAAAAUGAGUUAGUCACCAAUAGAAUUCACCUCGCAAUUCAGUCAUUUAUAUAUAACUAGAGAAUGAUUGCUGCCACAUUCCAGAUAAAGAAUGAGAGAUUCUUUCCACAAUACGAUGGUGAAUUAUAUAUGUCCUGUGAUUAGAGUCUAGGAAGAAAAGGAAAGAAAGGAAGAUUCUUUGCCUCCUCCUUUUACCCCUUACCGUCUGCCCUUUAUUCUUCAUAACAACAAAUCCCAUGUUUAAAUUAUGUUGUACUUAAUAAAAAUAAAAUCAUAUCUAGGGCUGUGCCAGGAUCAUUUCUAAAGCAUAAGGAAUGUUUAAGUAAAAUAAAAUAAAGACAAGUAUUUCAUUGAAUGUUUUGUGAUAUGUUUGUUUUCUAGAAAUGUUCUUACACAUCCUGUUCUAAUGAUCAGUAUAUCUGAAUAUAUUUUUAUAUAGAUAAACUAUACUAUGGCUAUACCAUCUCUGGCAAGUAUAGGAAGAGGGUUCUGAUUGGAAGCUGAUGUAGAAGGAAAUCACAGUUUGUUUCAGAACACUUAGUGACCUGAGCCCAACUCAGCAGAAGGCACAAAGGCUGAAAAAGUGGUAACUUUUUAAAUAACCUACCCAUCAUAGAUCAACUCCAGAGAAUCAACAAAGAAACAGCUAACAGAAUAGGAGAAAAUAUUUCUCAACUUUUGUCUGGUGAAGAAUUAAUAUCCAGAAGUAAAAGGAACUCAAAGAUCAUAACAAAAAACAUGAGUAACACACAAAUGUAGAAAAAUGAUCUGAAGAGACAAUUCUCCAAAGAAGAAAUACAGAUGGCUGAGAGCAUGCAGUUCCUGGAGCUAUUGACAGCGUCUUUUGACCAAAAUGAGAACUAGCCUUUCAAUGAAAUUGGCCCUGCAGAAAACAGAAAGAUGGAAAGAAACUGCAGCUACUGGAUCCAGCCCUGCAUGAAGCCUUAUACCUAUUUUCAUUUAAGUAUAUUCCUGUAAAUACUAUUGCUUGAGUGAGGAGAAGUAAAGAAGAAAGCUAAUUUGGGGAAAAGAAGACAAGUGCCUAAAAGUCGAAAGCAAGUUUUUUCAGAAGGCCUGGGCCACAGAGCAAAGAAGGCUGUGUUGUCUCCUUCCCACCUCCCCACUGGCUUUGCUGUCCUUGGCAUGAAUGAGAAGUAAGACAAGUGCUGUGGGUGGCGAACACUGGGUCUCACACAUGGAUACGCAUGGGUAUGGGCAGAGGUCAUGCAACUUGGAGUCCCAGCUCAGCUCCUUGCUCUCUGCGGCGUCCAGGCAAGUUUACUUUAACUUUCUAGGCUUCCCUCUAUCAGGGCAGGAACACGCACAGUUCUUUCCAUUUCUCACAUCCUAUAACUAUUCUGUGACUCUUUUGCUCCUUGGGCCUGGAAUUAAUCUGGCAAAUCCAAGAAAGCAUCUGGUUCUACAAAGAUAUGUGGACAACAGCCUGAGAGCCAACAGCCACCCAUCAUCACUCUUAAUCCCUUCUGUCAGGUCCAGGUGGCGUGUGCUCCCCCAGGACAGUCUGUCCCUCUUAGCCGGCUCAAGAGCAGCACUGCCUUGGAAGAUGCAGGAGACAGAUGUUUUCACCUUGACCUUAUUGCUCUCUUCCUGCAUAUCUUCAUUAUUCCUACCCCUUAUAACCAGGACUCUGCUCCAUUUUCCCAUCCACAAGAUAUAGAAUCAAAGACAAAAAAGAGGAGGACCCUCAGGCAAAGCCUCUUCACGGUGAUUUACUACAUUACACAAUAGUUUCCCAAGUCCCUGCAACCCAAAGUCAGGAAAACUGGCCGAGUCCUUCAUAAGAACAUAAAAUAUUAAGAAAAAUGCAAUCCCAAAGGUAGGCAGGGAGGAUAAAAAGAACUUUCCAUUUUCAAUUCUAAAUGUCAAAUAGCCAUUCUAGUUUUUAUUGUAGGGAAAAUAAUCAUUAUUUGUUGAAAUUAUGCUGCAAAUAACAGUAUGCUAAGGCUUUUUAGGAGAAAUUAUUUGGGGUAAUGUGUUUAACUCACUGCACUUAGAAUUCACUCUAGGACAACUAUUUUGAGUACAAUGAGGUACCAUUUUAAUAAUUCUAUGUAAUAUUGUAGUGAUGGAUAGCUACUUUAGAUUUGCAUGCCAGCUAUGUAAAUGUCCAUAAGUGAUUUUUCAUUAUCCUAAAUGAUGAGUAGUUUAGUAUAUUAAUCCAAGUGCAAUGUGGGCAUAACAUUUAUAGUUUAUUAAACUAAAAGGGUGCUAAUCAAUUAUUAUAUUUAAAACAAAACCUAUGGGGAAAGAAAUUGAUUUACUAAGUUAAAAAUUUAUUUUUAAGAGUUGGAAAAUAAGCAAAUUGGUAGUAAGGAUACACAGAAAUUGUUGCUGAUGAUUAGUUUGAUCUCAGUAAAUAAAUGUACCCUUAUUGCUGAGGGGUCUGAUGGGAUGUCUUUGUAGGAGUUCCCAGGACAUGGACUGGCAAUUGUUUAGUUUUGCUGGUGUAAAGAGGAUAAUAGUGUUUUGUCUAUUGUGAAACCUUAUAUUAGACAGCUUUCUGUUGCUAUAAAGAGAUGCCUGAGACGAUCAACUUAUAAAAAGAAAAGGUUGGUUUUGAUUCCUAGUUUUUGUGGUUUCGUUCCCACUGCUUUGGUCCUGUGACAAGUCAUUACAUCAUGGCGGAGUGCAUGGAUGAGCAGAGCUACUCGCUUCAUGAGCCAGGAGCAGAGAAGAGGAGGAAACCAGGGUCCCACACCUCCCUUCACACAGGAUCAAGCUAACAAAAUCUUUGUGUAUUAUGAAGAGGUGGGGGCAGGAAACAUCAGCUUCAUGAAGAGAUGCUACCUUCUGCUGUCCCAACUAGUCUUUCUAUGGUAGCUUAACUUUCAGUGAGAAAAAUGAAGACAAUUUGAUACUGUUUCUGAAGCCAGAAUGCCUUCCUACUACCUUUGAAAAACAGCAUUCACUCCUAGGAAGCAGUGAAUGGAGCCUGGGAAUUAGAGCGUCAGUGAGCCUUCUACGGCCUCUCCCACGUCCCUCUGAUCUGCCUCAAAGCAACUUUUGUUCUUCUCCAAGCCCCUUCUUUAGGAGUAAGUUGUUCUUGUUCAACAAGGGGAUUGAGAAUGUUCUCCCCAGUCCCUAAAAUUCAGACUCUUACUGGACCAAAAAUAAUAUCAGUAGUAGUAUAAGCAUCUCCAGUGAGAUACAUAAUUCUACAAUUCUACCCACCUUCCCACGUGCAGUCAGUCUGAAAGUCAGUUGUAAGUGACCAGUUUGUGCUCCGAGAAUGGUAUCUAGGGACCUAGUUUCCCUUCCCCUCCUGCUCAGAGGACCUCUAAUGGGAGCCAGGUGGAAAGUCCCUGGCCGGUGAUGCUGAGCCAUAUAUUGGGUCUGACACAGGUAACCGAAGACACCAGUUAGUUGUCAUGAUGAUUAUUCUGGGAUGCUCUCAGCUUCAGGUAGGUCCUUGUCAAGUCACAGAAUUGCUAGGUGCCCUUUGGAGGGAUCUUCCCACCCUUCUCCUUGUCUAGAUGUACUCGUGUUGUUAUAUCAGAUUUCUCCAUGAAAUGCCAUUUACAGUUAGCCGUUCAUUUGUGUGCAUACUGGUAUUUUCUGUCUUGUAGUAUUUAGUGACCUUUGCCCGGAGUUCAGCAUUCUUGGCGGGCGUUUUUCCCCUUGGUCACAGAGGAACCCAGUAUUUCUCCAGAUCCUCGUGAGAGAUGGGGAUGAAACAUCAGCAGCUGGGGACACAAAAAUAACUAGGAACAAAAUAGACACCCAAUUCAGAAGAAUACUGAAAAAGACUUUCUGCAGAAGCAGUUUGCUUUUGAUGCUGAACACUGUAUAGGAUUCAAUGAUAAAUUGGCUGUUACACAUGGCUAUUUUAAACAGGAAAAAGGGAAAGAUGAGCAUGUAAUUUCAUGUUUUAAACACAAACAACAGAGUUCUGAGUCUAGAUUUUACUCUUAGAUUCAUGUGGAUGAUGACUAUUACACUCUGAAAUACCUGGGUAUUCAGAAUUGAGACUAGAAAAGCCUUCUAAUGCAGUUCCCUUCCUAAAUGAGACACAAAUAAAACUUUCAGGCUUCACAUACCAAAAUGAGUCUAGUGGGUGGAUGACAACAGUGCCUAAAUUUCUGUUCAUAAUUUCACGGUGUACUUUUUUCAUAUUAAAAGUGAAGCUUCACUGAUUGGAAAGCCAAGCUCACUGAGAUACACAAUGUCUUUGAGUGAACAUUCCAAAAAAAGUGAAUGUCUCCUUCUGGCAUGGAUUGUUCUUUCUUCAGCAUUCCUGGCUGACACAGCCACAGUUCUUCAGUUCUGUGUUCUUUACCCACGAGGCGUUGAGCGGUCCCACCCAAAAGCCUUCAUGCUACAUUACCAUAAAAGUCUGCCUUGUGUGUACCACCUAAAAAACAAAAUAAAUGGGCCACAUUAUUCCAAAUAGCAGUCCUCCUCUCCUAGAUGUAAGAAAACAGAACAUGUAGCACUUCUCUGGAGUCUGGGUAGUACAGAUAGGACGUUGAUUUCCACAGUAAAGAAAGGCUCCUUGCAGUCUGCAAAGACUCCCAUAAUCUUUUUUUUUUUUUUUUUUGCUAUUUUAUUUUUUUCCUGAGGUAUUUUAAUACAUAAAAAUCUCAACCCUAAAGCUGUCUUUGAGAUCAGGGAGAAAUACUUAAACAUUCCUGCAUCCAGUUCAUGAUUCAGAGAUUUAUUUAUAAGACUGUUGAUUUUGGGACACCCAACUCUUGCAUUUAAGCUGCUGAAGUGAGUCAUGUUUGUGGGAGGUAAUUACUACCAGAAAGUACAACGAACUUGUAAGCUUCUCUUUAAAAUGUCCGCUCACAAUCUACAAUUACUGCAAAUACCAGGCUACCAGGACUUUGGCUGUGUUUUACGGCUGUGUACAUUUAUUACAAGUGCAUUAGGCAACACCCAAACAUACUUUUGUCGCAGAGGGUUUCUGGUAAGAGAAAUGAUUCCUUUUAUCAGCAUUGGUGUAGACUGCUGGUAGGACUGGAAAGAUAUAACAUCAAGAUAUCCCUUCCAUUUGUGUUACCGUUAAAGAUCAGCUCUGACUCACAGGAACUGCGGCAGGCCCUCACCUCCUUCACUUCUCAGUGCCUCGCUUGGACUGAUGCUGUGUCCUCUGCGAGACUCCCUGGCUCCCCACUGGUGAAGCGCACACCCUCUGGCCAGUGGCAGAGUUGGUAACAUCUUGUGAAUCACAAUACCAGAGUCUCAGGACAUUCUACAGUUCAUGAGUUGGUGUUGGAAAGGAGAAAGAGGAGGGACCUGGGUGUUUAGAACUGCCACAUUGGGGUCGGGGGAAGCACCAGGAAGACAGAGCUGCAGUAUCCCAGGACCGACCCGGCUAUGGAUGGCUUUACCCCGCCUCUGCUUAACACAGCCCUGCUGAGACCACGGCCUCCCCACCUGCCCUGACACUCUCACCUGCUGAGUUAAGCACACUGAGGCCUGACCCACUGUACAUGUGUUGUUUCAGGCUUCUGCGAUCCAGUUGUCUUCUUGUACCUGUUCUCAUUCAUUCACUCAUUGCUUGUUUACUCAUCAUUAAUUUAAUAACAACUCCCUGUGUGUCCUCGAUGUGUCAUUCAUUGUGCUGGUGCUGAAACAUGUCUGUGGAUGCAACCCAGUCCCUCUCUUUCAGGAUCAUUCUGCCUGGUCAGCAGACAACCGUAAGAAGUGAUAACUUCAAAAGUGCAUGAUAAGUGCUACAUAGGGGUGAUCAGGUGCUAUAGGAGCAAGUCAUAAAGGCACUGUCUGACCUGAGAGAACAGAAGAAACUGCUCGGGAGUGCCUUCAUUUAAGUGAAGACCUGAAGGAAAGGCUAGAGAUGGUCGGGAGACUUACUGGGGAUGAAAAUAAGGAGACGCAGCAAUGUAUUUUAUGCAGGAGGAAAAGAACAAGAUGUGAAGAUUCAGUUCAAGGAAGCAUGCUAAAUUCACAGGGGAUGGAAACAGCUGUAACACAGUGGUGCUAGAAGAGCCGGACAAGCAGAAACCAGAAUGUGAAAGCCCUUGUCUGCGUGCUAAGGAGGCUGAAUGUAAUUGGACCUGUUUCCUGUGGGAGCAGGCACCUACCAAAUGCUUUAUAUACUGUGUCUAACCAUUCAGGCUUAAUCCUGGGCAAGUUAGUAUGUUCUCUACCAUUUGGCUAGCUUCUCUGAUGUACCACAAUGAGCCGAUACCGCAGCUACGCAAGUGCAUUAUUUGGGUCCUCUGACUUGUGGCGUAGCCCAUCAUUAGAGACACACACUGCUUCUCCAUCUUUAUGAUCCAUCUAGGCCCACAGAACACCCAUAUCUAUCCUAUCUUGCAUAUUUUCAUGGACAUAUCUCUUUUGGCCGAUAUUAACUCCAAAAUUAAGGUCUGGAACAUUAAACUCUAUGAGCUUACCAUUCACUCAACAAAUAUCUACAGAAUUUCUAUAUGCUAGAAAAUAUUCCAGGAAAUGUACCAGUGACCGAAGCUGAGUCUCCACCCUUAUGGAGGUGACAUUGUAGUGGAAAAAUACAAAAAAAUAUAAUAUUUAUGGAAAAUUGUUUUAAGAUAAUGAUUGAUAUAUAAAGAAACCUCAAUAUUUAAGGGCUUCCCAGAGAGUAUUAUUCUGUGUACUGUAUAUAUUUCACAUAAACAUGAAUGCACACAUAUAUAUUAACAUAUACACAAAUGUAAUAGGCACGUGCUAUUGUACUAAUUAUAUAUCAACACGUUCUCUAAUGACUUUAAGAUUCCAUAGUAGAGAAUUCAUAUACUUAGUUGGAACUCAUACUUAAGUAAGUAAUGUUAUUGUCACUUAUAAAUUUUAAGUCUCAGGAGUUGUUUUGAGUUUUAGUUUACCAAAUUCAAUGUAUAAUUUUAUUUUUAGCCUUAUAGUGUAAUAUGCUUUCAAAAUAAUAUAACUCAGUACAUACCUGAAUUAGCAUUUUUCCUUAAGAAAAUAGUAAACACUUUUCUAUUUUUAUUUUAUCUUAAUUUUCCACUUGGAAUUGUAAAAAACAUUGGUACAUUCUUGUGGACAACAGUAAAGUGUUUGACAGGGAGUGCAGAACCCUGUGACACCCAAGAGUGUCAGAAAAGCCUGGGGAGCAAUAUCUGAAGAAAUCGAAGCUGAGUUUUCCAGAUUUGUAAGAUGACGUGAGUCCUCAGAUUAAAAGUACACCAGAAACAAGCAGAAUGAAUAGGUACAACAUCUUGAAAUUGAAGAUCAGCAAGAAUUAAGACAAAAAUCUUAAAAACUGUUGGAGACCGAAGAUUCUCCACAAAGGGGCACACAGUGGGUUGAUAUCAGACUUGAAAUUAUUGCUGUAGAUGGAAGACAGAGAUACAUU